GCCUUAUUCAUAAAAAGUUACAACCUAUUUAAAACGUUGUUGAUGUGCGGAUGUCAAAAAACCUUAUUCAUAAACGCACAUUAGCGCUAAACAGUGCAUCAUCUCUUGUGUAAAUCCUCGAAAUUUUAAAAUGAGCCCGACCCUAGUUUAACGGGAUUUUAUCUCUAAUAUACAAGAUGGCCGCCUCACAUCAGCUGGUUUUUGACAGCAACUCAUGAACUGAUAUGAACCCUCCGAGACGAGUGUUUGUUGCCUGUUCUUACAUUUUAUCAGAAAAAUGUAUUAUGUGUAAUUAAAUUGACAAGCUAAAAUUAUUAUGAAGUGGCGCAAAACCAAAAUAAUAUGUGUUGUGUGCAAUGCGGUCUACUUAUAUACCUAAAUUGAAGGAGGUAAGACUUUUGAUCGUGUCGAAGAAAAAGUGCAUUAUAUAGGGAAAUAGUUCAGAGGAUUGGUGGUAGAAAUAGGUAAAAAUGUUGUCUGGCAGUAAUGAAACUUUUAAUGAAGCGAUGUGACCUAUGCUGGCAUGUUACUGGAAAAGUUAUGUCUAAUUUGGCCAUCAAGUGAAGAAAAGUCAUCACAGUUUGCUGCUCCCUCUGCUGGCUCGGUCCCAAGCUGAAGAUGGAAUUGUCAGAAUCUGAAAAAGACACAUCAGACAUAAAUAAAAUAUUUUUAAUGAACA